GCCUCAGUACGGCGAGUGAGCGGCAACAGCUCAAAUUUGAAAUCUGGCCGCAAGGUCCGAGUUGUAAUUUGCAGAGGAUGCUUUUGGCGAGGUGCCUUCCGAGUUCCCUGGAACGGGACGCCAUAGAGGGUGAGAGCCCCGUACGGUUGGACCACCGAGCCUCUGUAAAGCUCCUUCGACGAGUCGAGUAGUUUGGGAAUGCUGCUCUAAAUGGGAGGUGUACGUCUUCUAAAGCUAAAUACCGGCCAGAGACCGAUAGCGCACAAGUAGAGUGAUCGAAAGAUGAAAAGCACUUUGAAAAGAGGGUUAAAAAGUACGUGAAAUUGUUGAAAGGGAAGCGUUUAUGACCAGACUUGGGCUUGGUUGAACAUCCGGCGUUCUCGCCGGUGCACUCUGCCAGUCCAGGCCAGCAUCAGUUUGUCCCGGGGGAUAAAGGCGGUGGGAAUGUGGCUCCCCCGGGAGUGUUAUAGCCCGCCGUGCAAUGCCCUGGGACGGACUGAGGAACGCGCUUCGGCACGGAUGCUGGCGUAAUGGUCAUCAACGACCCGUCUUGAACCCCGGACCA
rnacentral:rRNA from 1 species